rnacentral:lncRNA from 1 species
GUGACUUUUUCAUUUGAAGACGCAGCCUGGCUUGGGGGACACGUGCAACCUAGGACACUGUCCUCUUACUCUUGGCAGGGCUCUGCUACCUGCCCCCACAUGCUGCCUUCACCUUUACCAACACGGUCCAGGCAGGUGAGGAAAAAGCACUCUUGCUGUUUCUCACCUGGGCCUCUGAAUUGAAGGCAGUCCUACCCACCCACCCCCAGCUGGCACCUCCAGAGGCCUCUCGGUCUUCCUUCCAAGUGGGCGUCUGCAAGCAGAACCCUGACUAAUACACAGACCAGGUGAAGACACCAGUGAGAAGGAUUCCAGCACCAGGCUCCGUUUCACAGCCUCCCGGGAGUGAUCAGAGAACUGAGGCUCAGAGAGGUUAAGGAAUCUCCUCCAGCCCUGGAGCCAGUGACGUGUGGAGCUGUGCUGGUCUCUUUCCACCCCUGAAGAUAAGAACCAUGCCUGUGUGCCUUCUUGUCUUCCUGACAUCCAGCUGGUCUGCAGAUAAUGAAUGUGUAAAUUUACUAAUAGCCAGUGGCCCCUAGAAUGACCCCAGAGGCCCAUGGCCCACCACACCCUACCCUCUUCUGUUAAAUAAGGACUGUCUUCCAAGCCGCACAAGUAAUCCCUACUUAAUGACUUUCACCUUUGCACACCCUCAUCUUCCUUUGUCAUUCAGUGUGCUCAGAACACCCUGUCAUCACUUUUUAAUCCUGGCUACCUCCCUGGGAGGGUAGGUGCUCUGAUCAAUGAAGGAGG